UUGAGAGGCUAUCAGUCCUCAGAACAGGGUGUGCCAGCCCCUGUGAGUGAGGUCAGGAAUGUGAAUGAAUGACCAUUUUAACCAGGAUACAGAAGAUCAGGACAAAAGCCAAGGAUAAUUUUUUAUUUAAUUUACUAAUAUCCUUUAAACAAACUUCUCUUUCCUUUCUUUUAUUUUUAUGGAAGCAUUACUUUCACAGUAAAGUUCACUAAUUAGAAGCUUCUACUAUUUACAAUAUUCUCAAUAUAAGGCAAGGAUAAGAGAGGUUAUCUGAAAACUACUGGCCUGGUAAAGAGCUGGCAUUUUGAAAUAUACAAAUAUCUCCCCAAAUCCAACAAUAAGAAUGACUUAAUUCAAAAUGGUCAAAAUUUGAAUAGACACUCCUUCAAAGAAGAUAUACUUAUGGUGCCUUGAGUCAACUAUGAAGGCACAACAGAGUGAACAAUCAUUGCAAACCUGGACUGUCACAACUGAAGAUGUCCGUGUAUGAAGAGAGGAUGAGGACAGGAGGAAGGAUAUGGCUUCUGACACAGGAGACGAACACCCUCAGCACCACAGCCCAGCAGAGAACCAGGGAAAAAAAUCAUCUAAUAUCCUUACCAUAAGAAGGACACACUGUUUGUUAGUCAAGGGGCUAUGACAACUGCUUAGAAGCUGUCUUCCUGCAGCUCCACGAAUGAGAAGAUUCAAGGGAAGAAGCUGAUUUUUCUUUCAGAGCUUAUUUUAAUUCACCCAACUUGUCAGUUAACAUGACUUCUUUGCAACUUGAGAGAAGAGCCUUUGAACUUCGGACUCUUUUCAUGUUUCCGGAAACUUCCCCUGCUUACAUCUGUUUGCUGUGCGCUGUGGUUUCUAGUGAAGAAGCUGAAUUUAUGCCUUAUAAAAUGUCUCCUAAAAGCAUUCGCCUACCAGAUCCAGAUCAAAGGGGUGAUUUAGUCAAUUAUUAAUGUGGAAGGCCGUAGGAGAGGAACAUGCAGAUAAUUCCAAAAGAGGGGCCUGACCCCACACCUGGCCUGCUCUUCAAUGGAUGGCUAUUUGUAGCCAGGCAAAAGCUCUCUUGUGAGUGGGUAUUGGGGUGCACCCUGUAGCUCGGGUAGGUUGAAGAAAGAAGGCACUCCCAAGAUGAAUUUUUAAGGCCUAUGUGGCAGCAGGAAGGUCCAGCCUCUUCUGAUGGACUGAACCCCAAACAACCGUCCAAAGAUGUAUUUAUUGAAAGUUACACAAAGUAUUUCCCCAUACUGAAGUCCCUACUCUAAUUUACAUGUCUUACUGAAGGAGAGCAUCACAUGUCCCCAUGACUCUAGUCCUUUAUUAUGCAUCAUGUGUAAUGCACAAUAAGACAAGAGACUAGGUGUGCCUGGGUCAUCUUGUGACCACAGUCCUGGAUGGCUACAAUGCCCCUUCAGCAAAACAAUCACUGUUUUCCACAGGGAUUCUUCAAGGUCAAAGUACUUAUUAAAAAAACAAAACAAACAAAACAAAACAAAAAACCCAGCUGCUCGUUCUAAUAUCUACCCCACACAGUGAUUCUGCUAAGUUCCUACAAGUGGGCAGCAUCCCACUGCUGGUCACUCUGAGACAUGAGUGAGGCACAGAAGCACAGGCUGCUUUCAACUUGUGUCACACUCUGCAUGAAGGGCAUAUCUCCUGAGAUCGGCUGUGACCUCUAUCACCUCUAUAUCCUUGGAAAGGAGAUCACAGGCCGUCCCAGGAGAACUCUUUAAUGUUUCUGCACAAACAGCACCUAGUAAAUCCUUGUGUGAUGAAUGAA